UCUAAUUCACAUUUUAUUUAUUUAUUUAUUUUGAGACAGGGCCUCGCUCUGUUGCCCAGGCUGGAAUGCAGUGGCACAAUCUCAGCUCAUUGUAGCCUCCACCUCCCGUGCUCAAGUGAUUCUCCCAUCUCAGCCCCCCGAGCAACUGAAGCUACAGAGCUGCCUUAGUGACCAGAUGUCACAAUGUGAUACAGAGCCAGAGAGGAAGUCAUUUUUGUCCAUGAUGCAAGGAACCCAGCAUUUUGACAACCCAGAUGGAAUGUGGAGCUCCCAUGGAAGAAACGUGUCAUCUGGAGGCCUGCAUAACCACUGCAUUCUCCAGAUGGGCACUGGAAGCGCUGAGGCUUCCCACCCAGAAGGUCCACGUGGUGGACAAGGGCAAGUGACAACCAGAGCCACGACUCAAAAGAGGGUGGCUGCUUCAGGCUGAUUUCCUUUGACAGACUGGUUUAUGGACGUGUGCAAGGGCCUCUCUUUGGGAACUGUCAGAAAUGACAGGAGAGAUACAAGAAGGUCAACGUCUGGAAAUCCGAC
rnacentral:lncRNA from 1 species